UACGGAGGGGGCUAGCGUUGUUCGGAAUUACUGGGCGUAAAGGGCGCGCAGGCGGCUGCUCAAGUCAGGCGUGAAAGGCCUGGGCUCAACCCGGGAAUUGCGCUUGAGACUGGGCUGGCUUGAGUGCGGGAGAGGAUGGUGGAAUUCCCAGUGUAGAGGUGAAAUUCGUAGGUAUUGGGAAGAACACCGGUGGCGAAGGCGGCCAUCUGGACCGCAACUGACGCUGAGGCGCGAAAGCGUGGGGAGCAAACAGG
rnacentral:rRNA from 1 species